AAGUGUAGGUCACAUUAUCAGUACCUAAGCAUAUGCGGGUAUACUUAUGUUGCAUAUGACAACACCGCUCCACAUAUAAAUAGGAAUGAUUGUAUGUUUCAAUCAGUGCUUCCAUUAUACAACACAACAAUGACCUACCUGAAUUCUCUUUCUAUAUUCUUCUUGUGUUCAGUCCUGUACCAUGUGACAAAUGCCAGUCUGAUCAAAGGACCGAUAAACGAUGAACCAGUCUUUAAAACAAAGGUUGUAUCCGCUCGUGAAAAUAUGAUUAUCGAUGAUGCAAAGAUUGAAAAGGAACUGCCAAUACCCGAAGUGCCCCCAAAGAGAAGAUGUGCAGAAAUUGGAGAGUUUUGCGUAAACCACAAUGAUUGCUGCACCAACGCUUGUUUGGGAUACAUGAAGAAAUGUGUUUCAGGUUCCGGUUAAUUUAUUCAUAACAAACAAAUGAUAACUAUUGUUCAAUUUUUUUUUAAUUUUUCGCGCUGGAUGGAUCGGGUGGUUGAGAUGAGUCAAAUCUGGUGGGUUGGCAAUGAAAUGUUUUAUCUCUUUCAUGGCGUCUUCUGAGAUUUUCCAAAGGUCUGGAUUGUCUUUUUUGAAGUUAGAGUACCAUUCGUAAAUCUGUAAUAAAAUUGUUGUUAUAUUAAUAAAGAUUAAAUAUAUGGUA